GUGCCUUCGGGAACUGUGAGACAGGUGCUGCAUGGCUGUCGUCAGCUCGUGUUGUGAAAUGUUGGGUUAAGUCCCGCAACGAGCGCAACCCUUAUCCUUUGUUGCCAGCGGUUAGGCCGGGAACUCAAAGGAGACUGCCAGUGAUAAACUGGAGGAAGGUGGGGAUGACGUCAAGUCAUCAUGGCCCUUACGACCAGGGCUACACACGUGCUACAAUGGCGCAUACAAAGAGAAGCGACCUCGC
rnacentral:rRNA from 1 species